AUGCGCAAAAUCUCAAGAACUAUAGGGACCAGGCGGAGGGAGCCACUUAUUCCUCUUCCAGGACUGGGGUCCUUCCGGAGAGAGUCGCGGCGGCGGGGGGCUGGCGGGCCCAGCCGCCGGACCAGGCCAGGGCGGCCCCGCCUGCCCGCCCCGCCUCCCUCCCGGGUUUCUGCCCCGCGCGCGGUUGCUGUGGCAGCGCGGGACGCCGCCGGAACCCCGGCGGCCGCGGCCUCCACCUCGCCCUCGGCGGCCUCCGCGGGACCCCUGCUCGGGCCCAGCCCGCGCUCCGCCAUGCCCCGGGGGAGGCGCGGGGGCCGGGUGAGCGCCCUGGAGGGCGGCCGGGGGGAGGAGGCGCGCCCGGCGGCGGGGGCCGUGCAGUCGGCGCGGCGGGCGUCCGGGCGGCAGCCGGAGGCGGCGGCCGAGCUGAUUCUGCUCCGGGGCAUCUUCGAGAUCGGGAGGGACAGCUGCGACGUGGUGCUGAGCGAGCGGGCCCUGAGGUGGCAGCCCAUCCGGCCCGAGCGUCUCCCAGGUGAUUCCAAGUAUGAUUUUCUACAUAGAGAAGAAUUUGUUGAACUCAAGGACAUAUUCUCUGUCAAACUGAAACGGCGUUGUUCAAUAAAACAGCAGAAAAGUGGUACUUUAUUAGGAAUCACUCUCUUCAUAUGUUUGAAAAAGGAACAAAAUAAAUUAAAGGAUUCUACACUUGAUCUUAUUAAUUUAAGUGAAGACCACUGUGACAUAUGGUUUAGACAGUUCAAGAAAAUUUUGGCAGGAUCUACUAAUGUAUUGGCGCAUUCUCUCCAUGGAGUUUCUCAUGUGAUAACUGCAACUUUGCACAUUAUAAUGGGGCAUAUACAACCAGUCGAUGUCUGUACCUUCAGCACCAUGGGCAAAUUUCUUCGCUUUGGCUUCUCGGCCAUGUUUGGCUUUGGUGGAAGAGCUUUGGCUGUGGCAGAAAAUCAUCGAUGGAUGUCCCCCAACCAGCGGAUGGAUUUUGCUAUCAUGAAGGCACUGGCAAAACUAAAGCCAGAAGAAUGUGAAAUAUCAUUUUUACCAUUUAACAGCUCUCAGGAUUUAGAAGAAAGGAGGGCACAAGGAUAUCCCAAAUCUGAUUGUAAUGAUCAGUGGCAGAUGAUCCAGGGUCAGUUCUUGAAUGUCAGCAUUAUGGCAAUUCCAUGCCGGUGUGCAGUGGCACCUAGAGGCUUGGCACCUAAUACCGGAUUAAAUAAUGGAAGCAUGGCUCUCAUAACUGCACGAAACACUUCACGACCGGAAUUUAUAAAACACCUGAAAAGAUAUGCAAGUAUUAAAAACCAGUUCAAUUUUCCAUUUGUUGAUACUUACACUGUUGAAGAAGUAAAAGUUUGCCCAAGGAGUAACAGCAGUGGACACAAUCCAGAGGAAGAUCAUGGACCACGUGAAACUGCUUCAGGAAACUGUUUCCCUUGGAAUGUAGAUGGUGAUUUAAUGCAAGUUGCAUCAGAGGUCCAUGUUAGAGUACACCCAAGACUUAUCAAUCUUUAUGGAAGAAGCAUGGAAGAAAUGAUUCCAAAGUAA
rnacentral:lncRNA from 1 species